CUGGGCGAGGUGAAGGUAAUAACCGGAUCCGUGCUCGGUCCCGUGCCUUGGCCUCCCGCGGAUCUGCCUCGCUGCGAGGCUUCCGUGACGGCUUGCCGUCGCGGUCGUCCUCUUCGGCCGCUAUUUAACGGUCAGCUCAGAACUGGCACGGACUGGGGGAAUCCGACUGUCUAAUUAAAACAAAGCAUUGCGAUGGCCCUAGCGGGUGUUGACGCAAUGUGAUUUCUGCCCAGUGCUCUGAAUGUCAACGUGAAGAAAUUCAAGCAAGCGCGGGUAAACGGCGGGAGUAACUAUGACUCUCUUAAGGCGGUCAGUGGAGUAGUGGUCUGACGCUAGAUUCCCAAGCGGGAGACCUGGGUUCGAUUCCCGGUCGGUGAAGUUUCUGAAAAGAAAUUUUAAUUGUACGGUAUGUUGGGUUUCUGGUGGAGGAGAAGCUACUCUGCAGGGUGGCGUAUCCCCGUAAUUUUUCGGGGUACGUCAUCAAGUCGUAAUCACCCCCCAAUGGGGUGGCCGCCCCCUGCUUCGGUGGGGAAAGAGUGAUGUUCGGCGAAACCGAGCCCCUGGGGUUGCCAGCCCCUUCGGUUCGUAUCAGUUGGCCCUAAUACACGACAAAACCAAGCCUCGGAUGAAAGCGGGGGGCCCUCAGGCCUCCUAGCACCAACCCCCCCGGUGAUUCCAAGACCACCCAACUUCGGAUGCAGGUUUCCAGGCUGUGAAAGAGCCUUUGCAACGGAUAGAGGCAGAGGCGUGCAUGAACAACGAAUGCACAAGGAUUGGUAUGAUGCCAGAAUUCUACCGAAUCAGGCGAAAAUGAGAUGGACUCAGGAGGAAGCCGCAAUGUUAGCUAGGAAAGAGGCGGAGCUAACAAUUACUCACCACCCUAGGUUCAUGAACCAGGAACUUCUGGCUCACUUUCCACAACGAACGCUCGAUGCGAUAAAAGGAAGACGAAAGCGGCAGGACCAUAAGGACAUGGUGUUGACAUUCAUGACCAAGAUAAAUAAUACAGAGGCACAAGAACCGCCACACGUAGAGACUGAUGAACCACCGCUGAGCGAAAACUUGCUCCAGUUCCUUGAAUCGCUACCAGCACCGAGGUCACGAAAGUUUCUGGCUGGUGACCUACAUAAGAUAGCUAUAGAAGCUCGCACAUCCGGCAAAGAAGGUACCCUGCAGCGUCUCGGCCUGUACCUGAGGAAUAUAUUUCCCCGCCCUCCAGGGCGUGCCAGAAAUAGACCACCAGCGCCAGCUCCAGUCAGCAAGAGAGUGGCACGAAAGCGUCUUUACGCAGCCACACAAGAUCUGUGGAGAAGAGAUAGACGGAGAUGUAUAACGAACAUCUUGAGUGGACUAGGGGCAGUACCACAACCCCCUAAGGAGAUCAUGGAGCCUUUCUGGCGGGAGCUCAUGAGCUCAGAAUGCGCAAGCUCUCCUGCGCCCACACGGAUUGAGGUUGUCGACGAGAUCUGGCGGCCUAUCACGGAAGAAGACCUAAAAUGGGGACGUGUACCACGACCAUCAGCUGCAGGUCCAGAUGGCAUCACACCACGCCUCUUCCGCUCGAUCCCACCAGAUGUUCUAGUAAGACUCUACAACCUACUUAUGUGGUGUGAACGACUACCAGAAGACCUAUUGGAAUCUAGGACUGUCUUCCUGCCUAAAAUACCAGAUGCAGCCACGCCCGGUGACUUCAGACCGAUCACAAUUCCAUCGGUGAUCGUGAGGGGUCUUCAUAAGAUAUUGGCCAAGAGAUUGGAACUGCAUCUGGACAUAGACACCAGGCAGAGGGCCUUCAGGAGUAUGGAUGGCUGCGCCGAUAACACAUUCCUCCUGGAUACGUUACUGAGGUACCACCGAAAGAACUUCCGCUCCAUCUACAUGGCAUCACUGGAUGUCAGCAAGGCGUUUGAUUCUGUGUCACACCCGGCGCUUAUGGCGACACUCAGAGCAGUUGGAGUCCCGAAGCCAAUGAUUAACUACUUGGCGGCAGUAUACAGCAAGUCGACCACCAGACUGUAUGGCGAUCAAUGGGUGUCUCGCCCGCUACAACCAAAGAGAGGGGUUCGACAAGGAGACCCGCUGUCACCAGUGAUCUUCAAUGCGGUUACCCACAAGUUGCUGCGUUCGCUCCCGGAGGAAAUUGGCGCAGUAAUAGAGGGCUUCAGAAUAUGCGCAGCCGCGUUCGCAGAUGACCUGCUUCUGUUCGCGUCCACGCCUGAAGGGUUACAGCGCCUCAUUAACACGACAACGGAAUACUUGGCCACCUGCGGGAUGCAGAUUAACACCAACAAAAGCCUCACGCUCAGCAUCGCGGCGGUGCCGCACUUGAAGAAGACUGCAGUAGAUGUGGGAAAAGUCUUCCAGUGUAGCGGACAGCAGCUACCAACACUUGCUAGGACAAGCGAGUGGAAAUAUCUAGGAGUGAAGUUUACACCCGAAGGAAGGUCUCGAGCCCGACCAAUGGAGGUCCUAUCUCCCUGCCUGGAGGCGCUCACUAAGG
rnacentral:rRNA from 1 species